rnacentral:rRNA from 1 species
GAUGAACGCUGGCGGCGUGCCUAAUACAUGCAAGUCGAGCGAACAGACGAGGAGCUUGCUCCUCUGACGUUAGCGGCGGACGGGUGAGUAACACGUGGAUAACCUACCUAUAAGACUGGGAUAACUUCGGGAAACCGGAGCUAAUACCUGAUAAUAUAUUGAACCGCAUGGUUCAAUAGUGAAAGACGGUUUUGCUGUCACUUAUAGAUGGAUCCGCGCCGCAUUAGCUAGUUGGUAAGGUAACGGCUUACCAAGGCGACGAUGCGUAGCCGACCUGAGAGGGUGAUCGGCCACACUGGAACUGAGACACGGUCCAGACUCCUACGGGAGGCAGCAGUAGGGAAUCUUACGCAAUGGGCGAAAGCCUGACGGAGCAACGCCGCGUGAGUGAUGAAGGUCUUCGGAUCGUAAAACUCUGUUAUUAGGGAAGAACAAAUGUGUAAGUAACUAUGCACGUCUUGACGGUACCUAAUCAGAAAGCCACGGCUAACUACGUG